rnacentral:lncRNA from 1 species
GUGCAGAAUACGGCACUGUACGGGCUGCUGCCGGGAAAAUUAACGUUCCAGCCAGACCCAGUACAGUACGGAGAUUUUGAAGACCUUCAAAUGAAUAUAGACUUCUUAGCCUGAAGCUGAACACCAGCUGGCACCUUCUUACUUGUUUCCACACUGCUUAAAACUAUAUCCUGUGUAAUUCAGGAGAGCUAAUUGGGGUGGACCAAAGAGCUGUGGAGAGAGGAACAACCAAAGUGAAUGAAUGGGAUCCUUUGUUUGAAGUUGUAAUACCCCACAGUGGUUUCUGGUUGAAGCUGUUCUUUCUGUCUGUUGAAAGCUGCUGCAUCACGAGCUGCAAGGAUGGAUAAAAAUAAUUUCUGAUCACAAAAAAGGCUCAUCUGUCUCCAUAAUGGUUCACACUAUAGGUGUGAUGAAGCAGCCAUUUGGGAAUUUGGAAUAGUAAAAGAAGUGAUGAAGAAGGAAUCCAAAAGAGAAAAAAGUCCAGAGUAGCAAAGGAAAACACCACUUAACACAACUCAACACAACACAACAUAACUGAUGGUGUUAGAAUAUAAAUUCCCUCUCUGUGUGAUAUGUAAGCCAAAAGAAACUAAAAAGUCUAGACAUGGUGGCUACGUUAAAUAGAAACAUUUUGAAUGUUAGUGGAUGAAAAAGCUUUUGAUAUAGUAGAAAAUAUUAGAAGUCCAUAGUGGAGCUGUUCAGGAAUCCAGGAACAGAGGUAACUGGAUUCAAUAAGGAGAUGGUAGGGGUCAGAGCUCAUAUGGUCAAAGUGAUGAUCUUGGACCACAGUGAAA